GAGGACCCAAGGGCGUUCCAGGUGCUCAAGGUCUGAGUGGACUCAAAGGAGAGAGAGGACCCAUGGGCGUUCCAGGUGCUCAAGGUCUGAGUGGAGGCAAAGGAGACAAGGGCUUCCAAAGAAGAGGUGGACCCAAAGGAGACAUUGUAGACUCCGACGUGGAGGGACUAGCUGGUGAGAAAGGGAAAAAGGUAUGUCUGGAGAAUCUGGCACUAAAGGACAGCACAGAGUGAGGAGACCUUGGACAUAAUGGUCCAACAUGGAGACUCUGGGAAGCCAGGUGAUGUAGGACCCCCUGGACUGCCUGGUCCUCGGGGGUUGAAAGGCAUGAGCGGUGUGCAUGGCAGGCCGGGUAUUGAGGGUCCACCGGGACAAGAUAUAUCUGACCAGCAUAUUAUUGAUGUGGUAUAAAGAAUGUUGCAAGAGAGGCUGGCAGCAGUAGCAGUGAGCACUACAAGGGCUGUGCCUUUGAACAACCGGCUAUUCUGGUCCUCCGUGAUUAAUGGUUCCACAAGGACCAAAUGAUUUGCCUGGUUCCCGAAGAAUUCCUGGAACGAUGGAAGCUGACAGACGGAUUGGAAACACAGGUCUUAAAGCAGGAUGUGCUCCAUUCGACUGCUGGAGAGUUCUGUGCCGUUUUGAGCAGGAGGAGAAUAUAUAGGGAGGUCUGCAGUGGGCGGGGCUCCAGCUCAACACUGCAGCGUCGAUGUUUGACUUCUCCAAAUGAAUCCUACAGUUGUGAUGUGUCUACUCGACAUACAAUGUGUAUCACAACGUGGACAAACACACAGCUGGAUGUCCCCUCAUCGACAGCUGGAGAGCGAAUGAGCAGGUGGAGUAGGAGGAGGACUUAUUUAUGAGAGCUCUACAGGGGGUGGAGCUUCGGUUCCCCUGCAGUGUCACAACGGACCCCUCAGCCCAACCACGCAAGACAAUGUAAAUAUGGUUGUUCUUUUGUGCCUCAACUCCUGUAAUGUGUUUGAGCUCCUCACCACACUGACAUGGUGCCACUUGCACUCACGUCCCUCGCAAACAGAGUCCCCAGGAAGCCCCACGACCGGCAGAACG